rnacentral:ncRNA from 1 species
UUCUUAUCAAGAGCGGCGGAGGAACAGGUCCUAUGAAGCCCGGCAACCAGAUCGAUGAUCUAGGUGCUAAUUCCUGCAGACGGCGAAAGCUGUACUGAGAGAUAAGAG